rnacentral:rRNA from 1 species
CCUACGGGCGACAGCAGUGAGGAAUCUUGGUCAAUGGGCGUAAGCCUGAACCAGCCAAGUCGCGUGAGGGAAGACUGCCCUAUGGGUUGUAAACCUCUUUUGUCAGGGAGCAAUUGGCGCUACGUGUAGCGUUAUCGAGAUUACCUGAAGAAAAAGCAUGGGCUAAUUCCGUCCCAGCAGCCGCGGUAAUACGGAGGAUGCGAGCGUCAUCCGGAUUUAUUGGGUUUAAAGGUUGCGUAGGCGGAAUGCCAAGUUAGCGGUAAAAUCGCGGGGCUCACACUCGCUCCGCCGUUGAAACUGGCGUUCUUGAGUGGGCGAGAAGUAUGCGGAAUGCGUGGUGUAGCGGUGAAAUGCAUAGAUAUCACGCAGAACUCCGAUUGCGAAGGCAGCAUACCGGCGCCCAACUGACGCUGAAGCACGAAAGCGUGGGUAUCGAACAGGAUUAGAGACCCCGGUAGUC